GCUGUGCAAGGGGAGAGAGAGCGGGCUGCGGUGGGUGGUGAGCAAGGGGUGGUGAGCAGAGAGAGAGCGCGCGCUGCGGCAGGAGAGGGGCAGCUACACGGGAGAGCGGCCGUAGAACGAGGCGUGGCAGCGGAUCGAGUGGCGAGGGGUACGUAGCGGCGGAUCGAGUGGCGAGGGUUACGCGGUGGGAGAGUUUGAGGCCGUUACGUGACGACCCGCUCCUCAUCUACGUCUUUCGACGGUAAAAAUACGCGGCCGUUGCGCGACCGCGAUCUAGACUCACGCAACCGCGAGCUAGACGAAGCACCUCUCCGUACUUCCUCCGCGACUUCGCCUCGGCCUCGCCGCGGCCGCGCCCGCACUUCUGCCGCCGUCAUCCUCGACCUCGGGCUCGUCCACCUCCACCUCGGCGUAGACCUGGAACAUGACAUAGUUCUACCUACCUCAUCUCUCGGAUCUCAUCCUUUCUCGGAACCUGGCAUCGGUACCUGUCGCGUACUGUCUCGGUACCUGUCACGUUGUAGUGUUUGAAGUAAGGACAUCUCGGACUACGUCGCGUCGUAGUGUUGGAACUACCUUCCUCCGGUCCGGUACUUCUCUUUUCGAGGACGGGUAUAGCUAAGUUCUCCUCUCCUCUCGGUACCUCCCUCUUCGGACGACGACGUUAUGGAUGGAACAGCAGGAGUACCAUAAGAGGUUGAAGAGUACUUCAAACACAUCGGAAGACAAUGAGUACUUCGAAGACAUCGGAGACAAUGUGUACUUCGAAGACAUCGAAGUGAUCGAAUACUUAGAAGAAAUCGAAGACAUCUAAUUGUUUCUUCAAAGAGUACUUAAGUAGUGAUACUUAGAAGAGUACUUCGAAGAUAAUGAGGUUGAAGACAUCGAACAACUUGAAGACAUCGAAGUCGAAGUCUCAUCGAACAAUUAGAACGUCAAGGGAACGAUCAGUACUUACAAGUAACGAAACCGCUCCCUUUAAGACAUCGAAUCAGCACCACGUCGAAGACAUCAAAAUAAUUUGAAAUCUUUUUAACAGAACCCAGACGUACACGAAGAAGUCUUUUAACUCUUAAAUCACACACAUGGAAGACAUGAAUACGUUCACGUUGAAGACAAUGAGGUUGAAGAGUUCUCUCCUCAUCAAAACAAUCCUUAACAGAAUCAGUACUUACACGUCGAAAACAUAGACUUUUAUAAAUCACUAAGUGACUUCAAAACAGACUUUACUUCAACAUUUAGACC
rnacentral:rRNA from 1 species